AUGAAAACAUGGAGGUGUACUGUGUUUGUUCCAGCUUCACUUCAGCACCCUCUGGAUUUACAGCCCUGCCCAGUUCUUGUCAACAUUCAUGCUUCUGUUGCAAACUCCUACUCAUUUUGCUGUCAGCUAAGUGAAGCUUUCCUCAACACUACACAGCUUUCAUUCCACCAGUGGAAGAUCUGUUGCUAUUGUAUACAAUAGAGAAAGCAAUGCUGCUGUUAGAGAAUGAUGUGCAAACCUCCAGUGCCAAUGGAAAAGCAUGUAUUUUCUGAGAGUCAGGCUCUACAUGUGAAGGGAGUCUGUUAUGUUUCGGUGAUGAGUCACAUGGGAUGUUACAGAUGGUGCAGAGUGAUGCUUCAAAGAUGUGAAAAAAAUACUAAUGGAUCCAAGAUUGAAGGUUAACAUAACAAGGUGACUGGGGUGAGUAGAUGAGUCUGAGUGAAAUAUUUUAGGACAAAAAUUGCCCCAACUUCUAAUUGUACCGCUUAGUGUUAGAUGAUCUCAAGGAAGACUUAUUGUCUUGUGCCAAAUGGUUUAUUUUAUUAGGUAAUGCUUAAGUCUUCAAGAUUUGCACAGAUGUCUGGGUAACAGUCUAUGAUAGAGAAUCUAUGAAGUUGCAACUAAGGCAUCUGUUUUUGAAAAGCUCCCCUUAGUGAUUUUCAUGCUCUCCAAAGUCUGAGAAUUGCUGCAAUAUUGGGUCAAUACACCCUAUGUAAUUAUUGUGGGAAAGUAAAAUUUUAAGUCUUUGAAUUUUAGAGUUCAAAAGAAAUGUAGACAUCAUUUUUUCAUGGGAAGAGCCUGAGGCUAGUGAAGAAGUGAUUUGCACCCUGCCACCCAGUAACAUAGCCAUGAAGCGCAAGCUAGAAGAAAAGUGCUCUGAUGGUCUGCUUAGCUUUUAUUGCAUGAUUCAAUACUCCCAUCCUCCAUCUCUAAUUUAAAAUCCG
ensembl:lincRNA